rnacentral:rRNA from 1 species
UGCGACCCAGGUCAGGCAGGAUUACUUGCUGAAUUUAAUCAUAUCAAUAAGCGGAGGAGAAGAAACUUACAAAGAUUCCCCUAGUAAUGGUGAGCGAAUCGGGAAGAGCCCAGCUUGAGAAUCAGGUGCCACUCGUCAUUCAAAUUGUAGUCUAGAGAAGCAUCCUCAGUGUCGGACAAGGCCAAGUCUGUUGGAAGGGUGUGCAGGAGAGGGUGAGAGCCCCAUUGUGCCCAAACUUGUCGCACCACGAGGCAUUGUCAGGUUGUCGGGUUGUUUGGGAAUGCAGCCCUAAUUGGGCAGUAAAUUCCGUCCAAGGCUAAAUAUGGGCGAGAGGCCGAUAGCAAACAGGUACCACAAGGGAAAGAUGAAAAAUACUUUGAAAAGAGAGUCAAUGAGUGCUUGAAAUUGUCAGGAGGGAAGCAGAUGGGGGCUGGUGAUGCACCCUGAUCGGAUGUGGAACGAUGAAUGCGGUUUGCCGAUCAACUCGAGGUGUGGACCGACGCUUAUUGCGGCGGUGGCCCAAGCCCGGGUUGUAGUCAUGCCCAUGGAAACGUUGUUGCCACAAUCGUGGUGGGGAGCACGCCCGCGCAAGCUGUGCUUUGGCAUCUAUCGGGACCUGAAAGAUGGUGAACUAUGCCUGAGCGGGGUGAAGCUAGAGGAAACUCUGGUGGUGGCCCGCAGCGAUACUGACGUGCAAAUCAUUUUUCUGCCUUGGGUAUAGGGGCGAAAGACUAAUCGAACCGUCUAGUAGAUGUUUCCCUCCGAAGUUUCCCUCAGGAUAGCUGGAGCCCACGAGCGAGUUAUAUUGGGUAAAGCCAAUGAUUAGAGGCAUCGGAGGUGCAACGCCCUUGACCUAUUCUCAAACUUUAAAUAGGUAGGACGUCCCGAUUACUUUGUUGAAUCAUGCCAAGGAAUUGAGAGCUCCAGUGUUAUAUUGGAUUUGAAUCAGAUUUCGGAUCAAUCUAUAUUGAUUGACUGCCUCCAUUAUGUUGUUGCUAGCAAAUACCACUAUUUUUGGUUUUGAAUUUUCUAAAUCAUUCCCGUAGGAGGUCUGGACCCUUUUUUUUUUAUGAUCCUUCGAUAAAAGGAUUCAUUCUCUUGAUAAAAAAUAGGAGGUAGAACCAAUAAAUAUUUCUUUUUUCGAUUCAUCCCUGGAGUUGAAUACCUCAUUCAAGAAUUGUUUUUGAUCCAAUCUGCAGGAAUGAAUAGAAAGGGUAAAUCCCUUAUGAUACGCCAGAUCCGACAGUGGGCCCUUUUUGGUAAGCAGAACUGGCAAUGCAGGGUGAACCAGAAGGCGGGUUAUGAUGCCCAACUGCGCACUAACCUAGAACCCACAAAGGGUGUUGGUCGAUUAAGACAACAAGACGGUGGUCAUGUAAGUCAAANUAACCUAGAACCCACAAAGGGUGUUGGUCGAUUAAGACAACAAGACGGUGGUCAUGUAAGUCAAAAUCCACUAAGGAGUGUGUAACAACUCACCUACCGAAUCAACUAGCCCUGAAAAUGGAUGGCACUGAAGCACGCAACCUAUACCGGGCCGCCGAGGCAAGUGCCAGGGGUAACUACAAAACUUGGGGCGUGAGCCCGGGUGGAGCGGCUGUUGGUACAGAUCUUAGUGGUAGUAGCAAAUAUUCAAAUGAGAAAGGUUCCAUGUGAAAGGUUCCAUGUGAACAGCACUUGCACAUGGGUUAGUCGAUCCUAAGAGACGGGGGAAACCCAUCUGGUAGCGGGAUGGACGCGAGCUUCAAAAGAGAAUCGGGUUAAAAUUCUUGAACUGGGACGUGGCAGCUGAUGGCAAUGUUAGGGAGUCCGAAGACGUUGGUGGGGGCCACGGGAAAAGUUAUCUUUUUUGUUUAACAGCCUGCCCGACUUGGAAACAGCUCAGCCAGAGGUAGGGUCCAGUGGCUGGAAGAGCACCACACUUUGCAUGGUGUCCUGUGUGCCCCCACGCCCAGUUGUACUCAUAACCACAUCAGGUCUCCAAGGUAGGCAAGGGAAGUCUGUAAAAUGGAUCCGUAACCUCGGGAAAAUGAUUGGCUCUGACGGAUGAGCACAGGGGUCCUAGUCCUGAACCCAUUGGCUAUCGGUGGACUACUCGAGCUACUUCCGCGGUGUGAACGGGUAGCCGCGUGCGGGCCAGAGGACGAACUGGAAAUGAUCGCUUCGGCGGUCUUCCCCGGGCGUCGAACAGUCGACUCAAAAUUGGUACGGACAAGGGGAAUCCGACUGUUUAAUUAAAACAAAGCAUUGCGAUGGUCUCUGCAGAAUGCUCAUGCAAUGUGAUUUCUACCCAGUGCUUUGAAUGUCAAAGUGAAGAAAUUUAACCAAGCGUGGGCAAACGGCGGGAGUAACUAUGACUCUCUUAAGGCAGCCAAAUGCCUCUUCAUCUAANGAAUGGAUUAACGAGAUUCCCACUGUCCCUGUCUACUAUCCAGCGAAACCACAGCCAAGGGAACGGGCUUGGCAGAAUCAGCGGGGAAAGAAGACCCUGUUGAGCUUGACUCUAGUCCGACUUNGGGGAAAGAAGACCCUGUUGAGCUUGACUCUAGUCCGACUUUGUGAAAUGACUUGAGAGGCGUAGGAUAAGUGGGAGCUGAAAGGCGAAAGUGAAAUACCACUAUUUUUAACGUUAUUUUACUUGUUUCGUGAAUUGGAGGCGGGGCAUUGCCCUUCUUUCUGGACCCAAGGCUCGUUUUGGUGGGCUGAUUCAGGCAGAAGAUAUUUUUAGGUGGGGAGUUUGACUGGGGCGGCACAUCUGUUAAAAGAUAACGUAGGUGUCCUAAGAUGAGCUCAAUGAGAACAAGAAUAUCUUGUGGAACAAAAUGGUAAAAGCUCGUUUGAUUCUAAUUUCCAGUAUGAAUAUGAACCGUGAAAGUGUGGCCUAUCCAUCCUUUGGACCUUCAGAAUUUGAAGCCAGAGGUGUCAAAAAAGUUACCACAGGGAUAACUGGCUUGUGGCAGCCAAGCGUUCAUAGUGACGCUGCUUUUUGAUCCUUCGAUGUCGGCUCUUCCUAUCAUUGUGAAGCAGAAUUCACCAAGUGUUGGAUUGUUCACCCACCAAUAGGGAACGUGAGGUGGGUUUAGACCGUCAUGAGAUAGGUUUGUUUUACCCUACUGAUGACAGUGUCGCAAUAGUAAUUCAACUUAAUACGAGAGGAACUGUUGAUUUGCACAAUUGGUCAUCGUGCUUGGUUGAAAAGCCAGUGGCGCGAAGCUAUCGUGUGCUAGAUUGUGAUUAAAUGCCUCUUAGUCAGAAUCCGGGCUAGAAGCUACAUGUGAGCCCGUCGCCCGAUUGUCGACCUGCAGUAGGGGCCUUAGGGCACCCAGAGGCACAUGUCAUUAGUGAAGCUCUCACGGCGGAUGAGUUAUAGGGGCUUUCUUGAAGUACAAUUCUCACCGAGCGGGGGGUAGAAUCCUUUGCACACGACUAAAAUAUGCGACAUGGUAUUUUAAGUGGCAGAGUAGCCUUGCUGCCAUGAUCCAUUGAGAUUUA